CAUCCUUAUCCAAGCAAACCUCUCAGCAUCAGAGGAUCACGUCCACGAAUCAAACCAAGUUUCCUCCCGUAUCCAACGAGCAAAACCAAUCCUUCGUCCACGGAUUUCUCCCAGCACCCUCUCCCCAGUUUUACGUGUCUCUUCUCUUUCGGAUAAGAACCAGCAACCUACUCUACAAGCUGCUCCCCCUUGCGGAUACCAAUCAACCUCCGAAUCCCCUGAAAACAGAGCUUCUCCCAGCCUCCCUCCGGAUCGCGUUCGUGAUCUACUUCAUCCCAUGAACUCAUCAAAUCCCCUGCGUCUCGGAUUACAUCCUUAUUCCAACCAAGUAUCAAGAUCUCAUCUCCCUGUUAUCAGCCGAAAUUCCAACAUCCUAGCUUCCCUGUUCCUAUCUUUCCUGAGCUUAUCCGCCCAAGAUAAAUCCUAUCUAACCUUCAGAACAAACUCCCUCUUCUUCCGAAUCGAUCUCACGUUCAUUCCGUUCGCGAUGGCCUUCAACGCAUCCCCUGUUUCAGCGGAAUAGAACCAUCACGAGCUUCAGCUGUUUCUUCCGUUCUCAGCAGCUCAAUCUUCCGAAUCCAUCCAAACAACUUCCCGACUCCAAUAAUCUUAGCAUCCCAUGAGAACCAACCUAUCAAAUUCGUUCCAAAGAUCCUCUGUUCUCAGCCAUAGCCACCGGUUUCAAGCCUCCCGCAUCUCCAUCUCGGCUGUAAGCUCAACCUGACGUCCACGUCCUCGCCAUCCCCUGCAACCGAGGAUCAAGCUGACUUCAGCAAACCAAUCCAGCCGUUCGGCGAGCUUCAAGGAUCCAGCAAUCAACACAUCAGCUCCCAGCUCAACUUCUCCCACGUCCGGAUCUCCCGCGGCCAGUCGGGAUGAGCAUCCCGAACAAAUCUCAGCUUCAUCAGCUUGAUCCAUCCUUAUCUCCAUCCAAACUUCUUCGCAGCGACGGGAGGUAGGCAGCCUAUAUAAAGAGAAGAGUUCU
rnacentral:lncRNA from 1 species